GACGAACGCUGGCGGCGUGCUUAACACAUGCAAGUCGAACGGAAAGGCCCUUCGGGGUCCUCGAGUGGCGAACGGGUGAGUAACACGUGGGUGAUCUGCCCUGCACUUUGGGAUAAGCCUGGGAAACUGGGUCUAAUACCGAAUAGGACCACGCGCUUCAUGGUGUGUGGUGGAAAGCUUUUGCGGUGUGGGAUGGGCCCGCGGCCUAUCAGCUUGUUGGUGGGGUAAUGGCCUACCAAGGCGACGACGGGUAGCCGGCCUGAGAGGGUGACCGGCCACACUGGGACUGAGAUACGGCCCAGACUCCUACGGGAGGCAGCAGUGGGGAAUAUUGCACAAUGGGCGCAAGCCUGAUGCAGCGACGCCGCGUGAGGGAUGACGGCCUUCGGGUGGUAAACCUCUUUCAAUAGGGACGAAGCGCAAGUGACGGUACCUAUAGAAGAAGCACCGGCCAACUACGU
rnacentral:rRNA from 1 species